UGGGGAGCGGCGCCCUGGACACGCAGUCGGCAGGCGCAGGCGGGCGGCACAUGUGCGGUUAGAGCGGCGGGCCCGGGAGCCGCGGGCGGUGUUGCCGCGAUGGAGAACAAGGGUAAAAAGAAGUUCGUGGGGAAGAGUGGAAAAGGGCCUCGUGGAAAAGCGCCGCAUGGGAAAAGGAGAUUUAAAAAAGAUAAUGAUUCAGGUCAACCAAAGAAAGUCUUUAACAAAGGAGAUGAGGAAGAAAAGCCUAAAUUCAUUUCCAAGAAGUUUGUUAAAGGACAGUUAAGACCUGGAAAAGCUGCUGUCAAACAAUUCAAGAAUAAACAGCAACCAGAAAAGUUUGCAAAGAAGAGAAAGUGCCAGGAUGGUGAAGAGGGAGGGUCAGAUUCUAAGAAGCCAAAUUGGAAUGACUUCAAAAAGAAAAGGAGAGAGUUAAAGCAAACCAGACAAAUUAAUGAUAAAAGUAAUUUUGACAUAAUUGUAAAAUCUAAACAAAUAUGGGAAGGCAUGAGAAGGAAGAAAUGCAAUAAGGAGAAACGAGAAAAGCUGAUGAAUGACCUACAGAAGCUUCUUCAUGGGAAAAUUAAAAAGCUGGCGUUUGCGCAUGAUUCAACCCGGGUGAUCCAGUGCUUUAUUCAGUAUGGUAAUGAGAAGCAAAGGCAAGAGACAUUUGAAGAAUUGAAAGAUAGCCUAAUAGAAUUGAGCAAGUCAAAAUAUUCCAGAAACAUUGUGAAGAAGUUUCUUAUGUAUGGGACAAAAGCACAAGUUGCAGAAAUAAUAAAAAGUUUUAAAGGCCAUGUGAAAAAAAUGCUUCGUCAUGCCGAAGCAUCUGCUGUGGUGGAAUAUGCAUAUAAUGACAAAGCCAUUCUGGAGCAGAGAAAUAUGCUGACAGAAGAACUAUAUGGGAACACUUUCCAGGUUUACAAGACACCGGCUACCCCAACACUGGAUAAAGUGCUAGAAGCUCAGCCUGAAAAGAGAGAGGCCAUCUUGGAUGAAAUGAAGCAGAUUCUUACACCAAUGGCACAAAAAGAGGCAGUGAUAAAGCACUCACUGGUACAUAAAGUGUUUUUGGACUUCUUCACUUACGCUCUUCAGAAACAAAGAUCUGAAAUGAUAGAAGCUAUCAGAGAGGCUGUCAUCUACCUGGCACACACUCAUGAUGGAGCCCGAGUAGCAAUGCACUGCUUAUGGCAUGGCACUCCCAAGGACAGAAAAGUCAUUGUAAAAACUAUGAAGACGUACGUUGAAAAAAUAGCAACGGGUGAAUUUUCUCAUCUGGUCUUGCUGGCGGCAUUUGAUUGCAUUGAUGACACUAAACUUGUGAAGCAGUUAAUUAUAUCAGAAAUAAAAGCUUCUUUGCCUGAUAUAAUAAACAACAAAUAUGGAAAGAAGGUCUUGUUGUACUUGCUAAGUCCUAGAGAUCCUGCACAUUUUGUUCCAGAAAUCAUCACACUUCUGCAACAGGGAGAUGGAAAUGCCUAUAGUAAGAAGAAUACUGAACUCCGUCGUCAUGAGCUCCUGGAAGCCAUUUCCUCACCUUUGCUAGAAUAUUUGCAAGAACAUACCCAAGAAAUAGUGAUAGACAAAGCCACUUUUGUCUUGGUUGCUGAUAUUUUAAGAACAGCUCCUGGUGACAUCCAGCCUGCACUAGAUGCAAUUGCUACGUUAGCAGCAGAAGAGCUGGUUCCAGGGGGCUGUGAUGGACAGCUCCACAUUGCAGAACAUCCAGCAGGCCAUCUAGUUUUGAAAUGGUUAAUAGAGCAAGAUGAAAAAAUGAGAGAGAGUGGAAAAGAAGUUUGCUUUGGAAGAACGCUGGUAGAACAUGUUGGUAUUGAGAAUCUGAAGACCUGGGCAGAAGUAAAUCGAGGUGCCAUUAUUCUUUGUUGCCUUCUCCGAAGCACUGAUGAAAACGUGGCAAGCACAGUCAAAAAAGGACUUAUAAAGCUCAUCCCAAAACUGAAGCAGAAUAAAAGUGUAAAAGGAAUAGAAGCCUUGCUGGAGAAACUGACUUCCUAAUGUAAAUGAACCUAAAAUAAUUAUUUACAUCAAUGCAGUCAACUGAGAUUUGGAGAAAGGCUGUGCCAGCAAUUGUGGGGCAUUUGUUUUAAAGCCAUUUUCCUGAGGUGAAAUGCCUGUCCCUUAUGACCAGCCAACACCUCUCACCUCAGUUAGCAGAAGUUGGAGGAUGAGCCACCAUUGUGAGUGCUAGGACAGAAGAGGUGGUAAAGACUGUUUUAUUUUCUGUUCUCAGAAGACAGAAGACCUAUUUCGUUGGUAUUGAUAUAUAUUACUGUGUAACAGUGUAUUUUACAUUACCUUGGAAGUAGGCGCAUGCAGAUGGGUGCAGUUGAGCUGCCUUAGUAGCUCUUGGUUUAAGGUACAGAAGAACCAGCCUUGCUCUUUGCUGCUGACAACAGGAUCUACCAAGAGCAUGCAGUGUUUCACUUUCCCACUGACUCCACCAACUUUUCUUCAAAAGCAAAAAAAAAGUACACAAUGACUGAGUUUUUUUCUGAGUGCUGAGGGAAAAUGUGGGAUCAGCAGAAAAUGCAGAGUGAUUGACUUAGCUGGAAAUAAAGGAGGAAUGUUUGGGGACAGUAUACACAUUGCAGACAGACUGUGACCCAUAACUGAGACUUGUUUUCCUAGUCCUGUCCAUCUCCUGUCUAGUUGGGUUGUAGACUGUCACAAUGGACACAUGGCCAUGCCCACAAAUGCACACCACGUAGUACUUAUGGAGUUACACUAUGUGCUUGCUUUAUUCCUGCAUUAUGUCUAAACAAUUAAAUUGUAAUAAUCUGAUAUUAAAAGUGGGACCUUUUAAUUUCAUACAUCUUUAAGACAGAGUCAUGCAAGAGUUCAUUGCAUUAAUCAAGAUAUAUUUCCUUGUUUCCUGGAAGAAAUCUGUACUGCCCAUUUAACAUUUGGCACUAUCAGGUUCAAGAUCAUUGCCAAAACCCGUCCAUUUUGCUUCAGUGUGUAUCACAUUGCUCAGCUGCUGCAUGAAAACACCAGAGUUCAUUUACCCUUAACCAUAUUAUUUUUCCAUCAGUUUCCUGCAUGGGGUUUAAAACUCUUGCACUGAGUUGCUCCCUUACAUUCACCAUUAUGUAAAUUGCACCUUUUUUUCUCUUUUAGUAAGUUUUUGUUGUUUAAAGACCGUUGUGUGGUUUUGUGUGUCUUGUUUUAAGACCUGUAUUUUUGAGAUGUCAAACCUUUUUAAAGAUGUGUAAAUAGUAAAUACAUUGUGUUAACCAUCUAAUAAAAGAGGAAUAGGUAUUCCUGGAAAUAAUUGCUGUUUAAGAAACACUGAUCUAUCAUAGUGGGUCCUUCACCUUUUCUCUCAUCCCUGCAACUCUAAAGUUCAGCAGUUCAAGUUUUACUUAACAUGAUUAUUUUCCUGUAAAUGUAUACAGAAGGUCUAAGCCAUUUUACAUUGGCAUUAAAGCAGCCAGUAGGAUGUUACACACUGUUCUGUGUGGAGGGAUUGAGGGAAGGGAAAGUCACUGAUGGCUGGAAAACUGGAAAAUUUGUGAGUUAAGCUUAGUUAUCACCAGUAAUUCCUUACAUAUGCCCUACUUAACAUCAUAUACCUUUGUGAUUUUCCUCUUUCAGUAGUCAUAUUAAAGUUUUGUCAAGGGCCAUACUGUCUGAAGUGGACUGAACCAUCUUGUCAUCUGCUGUCAUAGAAGAUGUUUUUAAUUGCUGGAUUCAUACAUGUUUCAAUCAGAAUUUGUCUUAUAAGUACAUUUAUGCUUUACAAAAUGCAAAAAUCCUACUGAUUCUCUGAUUUCCACUGUCCUCCCCACAGCUGGUUCCGCCUGCCAUUCAGGUAUCUUGAAAGUCUGUUCUCUAACUAGAGUGUGUCUACAUGGAUUGCAUCUUUCAUUAGAAUUUAAAACCGAAAAUAAAAUGUACAGAGGAGCAAGCCUACAGGACCUCUGGGUAUACAAGCAUAGACAAGAAGGUGCUAUAAGCACUGAAUUAAGAAUUAAUUAAGUAGCCAAAAAGUUUUUAUCCCUUUGCAAAACAUACAAAUAAGACACUUGUGGGGGGAAAAAAAAUUGAUCCAAAACAGCCAACCAUCACCAUCACCACCACCGAAAAACAAACAACAAAAAGGAAAAAAACAAACCAGGGUUUGUUAUUUUAAUGAUAGACUAAAUUAUAAGCAUCUCUGGGGGAACAGUUUCUGGGGAGAAGAAUAAUAAGUUAAUAUGAGAAUUGGUUCAGUAUGUUGGGGUUGUUUAAGCUUCUGCUCCCAGGCUGUGGUGAGAUGAAAAACAUCACUGCUACAACACUUGCCAUGAGGUCAUCUUUACAGCCUGGCGAUAGCACCAGUUUUCAAGGCAGUCGUUCUUACAGCUGAAAUGCUUUCAGAGGCUGUUUUACAAAUUGAUAGCACCUAUUUUUAUAUGUAGGCAUUUUCAGUUUUUAUGUUUUUUUCCCACUGUUUAUCUAAACAGGUAAAAAUACUUAGAUUUAGAGCAUCUUUUAAAUUGUGCAUCUUUUGAUAGUGGACAGUGAAAAAAAUAGUAUCAAUUAAAGAUGUUUGAGAUUUAUCUGAAUUACUUAUCUUCAAAUGAAUUUAAAUGGUUGAAGUUUUACAUUACUGUAAAUACUCCACCCUUGGUGACAAGACUUCAGGCUUUUGGUAGACUGCCUGAGGAAGAUGCAGCACAGCUGGCUAACAUGGCAGGUAGCAGGCACCAGAUACUGUUAAGGGAAGGGGAAAUCUGGCAGCUUGUAACCUCUGAGCGGCAGCAGUGAACAAUGUUCCAUGCCAGGAGCGGUUCUUCCCACAAGGAGACCCACCCAGCUAUUUUGUCCUGCCCUGAAGAGGCCCGGCAGCGCAGCAGGUGCUGUCACAACCUGCCUGUGAUUUCCUGAAUUUUCCUGAAUGUGCUGAUUUUGGGGGUUUUUUGCUUCUUUGUUGUGUUGUCAUCGUUAUCCCCUCCCCCUCCCCAGGCCCUGCCAAAACUGGUGAAGGAAAAGGUGAAUGUGGCCUGAAGAACAGUUACUAAGUGGUGGCAAAAGACUGGCUUUAAAAUAUGGUAUUUGCUUAUCUGGUUAUUGACUGGUGGCAAAUUAUUUUUCUUAUAAAUUGAGCAUAUCCACUUCUGGAAUUUGAAUGACAGUACAGAGUAAUUUUUUAGAGUAGAACAUAGAACUCUGACAAGUUUUAUUUAUUGAUAAUCUCUAUCUCAGGACUUUUAUAAAGCUUUAAUUUCUCUCAACAUAUUUCCAUUAAAUUAACUAAGUACAUGAAAAACUUCUACCUCUGACCUUUCCCUAUAUUAGUCCUAGAUAAAGGACUGGAUUACAGUCAAAAGGCAUGUAAUUUUUAUACUACCAAAUAAGAAGUUAAUGAAAGGUU